GUGUCAGCCGCCGCGGUAAGACGUAGGGGGCAAGCGUUGCUCGGAAUCACUGGGCUUAAAGGGCGCGUAGGCGGUUGUGUAAGUCCAGGGUUGAAGGCCCCGGCUCAACCGGGGAAAGGCCUUGGAGACUGCAUGACUUGAGUGAGCGAGGGGAGGGCGGAAUUCCUGGUGUAGCGGUGAAAUGCGUAGAUAUCAGGAGGAAGGCCUGUGGCGAAGGCGGCCCUCUGGCGCUCAACUGACGCUGAGGCGCGAAAGCGUGGGGAGCAAACGGGAUUAGAUACCCCGGUAGUCCACGCCGUAAACGAUGUGCACUAGGUCGAGGUGGCUCUCACGCCUUCUCGGCCGAAGUAAAAACGUUAAGUGCACCGCCUGGGGAGUACGGUCGCAAGGCUAAAACUUAAAUGAAUUGGCGGGG
rnacentral:rRNA from 1 species